CUCAUAGCUAAGUUAGUAAAGAAUCUGCCUGCAAUGCAGGAGACGCAGGUUUGAUCCCUGGUUGAG
rnacentral:tRNA from 1 species